rnacentral:tRNA from 1 species
GUUUAAAUAGUUUAUUAUAAAACUUUAAUUUGUGGAGUUAAAAAUAUGGGUUCCAUUUUAAACA